rnacentral:rRNA from 1 species
CUUGGUCAUUUAGAGGAAGUAAAAGUCGUAACAAGGUUUCCGUAGGUGAACCUGCGGAAGGAUCAUUAAUGGGUCAACGCCUCCGGGCACAAUCCCCACCCUCUGUAACCGCGGCCCGGAUUCGGCGCCUGGCGGGGACCGCCCCCCGUUCGCGGGGGGUCCCCGCCUGCCGGAAUUAGCCAACCCUGCCUAGAAAAUUGAAGUCUGAGAACAAGUUAAAUUAAACAAAACUUUCAACAACGGAUCUCUUGGUUCUGGCAACGAUGAAGAACGCAGCGAAAUGCGAUAAGUAAUGUGAAUUGCAGAAUUCAGUGAAUCAUCGAAUCUUUGAACGCACAUUGCGCCCCCUGGUAUUCCGGGGGGCACACCUGUUCGAGCGCCAUUUCUACCCUGGAGCCCUGCUCUGUGAUGGGCCCCGUCCCCGCGGACGGGCCCGAAACCCGUGGGCGCCGUCGUCCGGCCCCGAGCGUAGCAAGAGAAAUCCCUCGCUCGGAGAGUCUGGCGGUGGCCGCCCCGACCCAUUUUUACAAGGUUGGCCUCGGAUCAGGUGGGGAUACCCGCUGAACUUAAGCAUAUCAAUAAGCGGAGGA